rnacentral:rRNA from 1 species
AGGGUUCGAUCAUGGCUCAGAACGUACGCUGGCGGCACGCCUUAUACAUGCAAGUCGAACGCAGUAGCAAUACUGAGUGGCAAACGGGUGAGUAUAAUGUGGGUAUCUGCCUUUUGGUUUGGAAUAACAUGAGGAAACUUGUGCUAAUACCGAAUAAGCCUUCACAGGGAAAGUUUUAACGCCGAAAGAUGAGCCCGCACUUGAUUAGUUUGUUGGUGAGGUAAUGGCUCACCAAGACAAUUAUCAAUAGCUGGUCUGAGAGGACGAUCAGCCACAUUGGGACUGAGACACGGCCCAGACUCCUACGGGAGGCAGCAGUAAGGAAUCUUGCACAAUGGGGGAAACCCUGAUGCAGCGAUGCCGCGUGAGUGAAGAAGGCCCUUGGGUUGUAAAACUCUUUCGUCGGGGAAGAAAAUGACUGUACCCGAAUAAGAAGGUCCGGCUAACUUCGUGCCAGCCGCCGCGGUAA